rnacentral:misc_RNA from 1 species
GCAAACUUGGUCAUUUAGAGGAAGUAAAAGUCGUAACAAGGUUUCCGUAGGUGAACCUGCGGAAGGAUCAUUAAAAAUUUGAGAUUCAUUAUUCAUCCUUUGUGUGCACUGAUUAAAGUAUCAACUUUUGGGAGAAUUAGUUGAUUCUCCCAGAGUUUUUUUAUCUUUUAAAAAUUUGAUUCUCUUGUCUGAAAUGUAAAAAUUUUUUUAAUUAAAAAUAAAAUACAACUUUCAACAACGGAUCUCUUGGCUCUCGCAUCGAUGAAGAACGCAGC